GGCGGCGUAGCUCAGUUGGUUAGAGCAUACGGCUCAUACCCGUAGUGUCGACCGUUCGAAUCGGUCCGCCGCUA
rnacentral:tRNA from 1 species